rnacentral:tRNA from 1 species
GGGGAAUUAGCUCAGUUGGGAGAGCGCCUGGUUUGCAACCAGGAGGUCACCGGUUCGAACCCGGUAUUCUCCA